rnacentral:rRNA from 1 species
CCCUAUGGGGUGCAGCAGGGGAGGCGAAGGGGUUCAGGCAGACCUGAGCAUUCUUGGAGGAACAUUUGAUCAGACGAUGGUAAUGAUCAAUGGAAUAAAUUUCACAGACCCUCAGACAGGGCACCAUUCACUAAAUAUUCCGGUUGAAAUAUCACAAAUUGAAAGGGUCGAAAUACUUCAGGGGCCGGGUGCCUGGUCGGAAGGUUCGGUCGCAUAUGCCGGAGCAAUUAACAUCAUUACAAAGAGACCAAAGAAAAUCAGUGCCGGUGCAUCUGUUUCCGGAGGCAGUUACGGAUUUUUCAAGGGAGAGGCAAAUUUAGGGUUCGCGUCUCCGGGACGAUGGUCGGUUUCGGGAAUUGGCGGGGGGGC